rnacentral:tRNA from 1 species
AGCCCCGUAGUUUAAUGGAUAGAAUAGAAGUUUCCUAAACUUUAGAUAAAGGUUCGAUUCCUUUCGGGGCUA